rnacentral:rRNA from 1 species
AGAGUUUGAUCAUGGCUCAGAUUGAACGCUGGCGGCAUGCCUUACACAUGCAAGUCGAACGAACCCUUCGGGGUUAGUGGCGCACGGGUGCGUAACACGUGGGAAUCUGCCCUUUGCUUCGGAAUAACAGUUAGAAAUGACUGCUAAUACCGGAUGAUGUCGUAAGACCAAAGAUUUAUCGGCAAAGGAUGAGCCCGCGUAGGAUUAGGUAGUUGGUGGGGUAAAGGCCUACCAAGCCGACGAUCCUUAGCUGGUCUGAGAGGAUGAUCAGCCACACUGGGACUGAGACACGGCCCAGACUCCUACGGGAGGCAGCAGUGGGGAAUAUUGGACAAUGGGCGAAAGCCUGAUCCAGCAAUGCCGCGUGAGUGAUGAAGGCCUUCGGGUUGUAAAGCUCUUUACCAGGGAUGAUAAUGACAGUACCUGGAGAAUAAGCUCCGGCUAACUCCGUG